GAUGAAGAACGCAGCGAAAUGCGAUACGUAGUGUGAAUUGCAGAAUUCAGUGAAUCAUCGAAUCUUUGAACGCACAUUGCACCUCUCGGUAUUCCGGGAGGUAUGCCUGUUCGAGCGUCAUUUGUACCCUCAAGCUCUGCUUGGUGUUGGGUGUUUGUUCCGCCUCUGUGUGUGAACUCGCCUCAAAACAAUUGGCAGCCGGCGUACUUGUUUCGGAGCGCAGCACAUUUUGCGAACCAGAUCAACGUACAGCGGCAUCCAAGAAGCCUUAUUUAACGCUCUUGACCUCGGAUCAGGUAGGGAUACCCGCUGAACUUAAGCAUAUCAAUAAGCGGAGGA
rnacentral:misc_RNA from 1 species